CCUACGGGAGGCAGCAGUGGGGAAUAUUGGACAAUGGGCGAAAGCCUGAUCCAGCAAUGCCGCGUGAGUGAUGAAGGCCUUAGGGUCGUAAAGCUCUUUUACCCGGGAUGAUAAUGACAGUACCGGGAGAAUAAGCCCCGGCUAACUCCGUGCCGGCAGCCGCGGUAAUACGGAGGGGGCUAGCGUUGUUCGGAAUUACUGGGCGUAAAGCGUGCGUAGGCGGUUAUUCAAGUCAGAGGUGAAAGCCCGGGGCUCAACCCCGGAACGGCCUUUGAAACUAGGUAGCUAGAAUCUUGGAGAGGUCAGUGGAAUUCCGAGUGUAGAGGUGAAAUUCGUAGAUAUUCGGAAGAACACCAGUGGCGAAGGCGACUGACUGGACAAGUAUUGACGCUGAGGCACGAAAGCGUGGGGAGCAAACAGGAUUAGAUACCCUGGUAGUCCACGCCGUAAACGAUGAUAACUAGCUGUUCGGGUACUUGGUAUCUGAGUGGCGCAGCUAACGCAUUAAGUUAUCCGCCUGGGGAGUACGGUCGCAAGNUUAAAACUCAAAUGAAUUGACGG
rnacentral:rRNA from 1 species